UGCAUCAAAUCAUGCAUUUUACAGGUUUCUAUAUUACUCUGUCUAUCUCUCACAUCAUCUUGGAAAAAAUACAUAGAAAGAAGAUUCUUAAAAUAUGAAAAACCAAUUUCUUCAAAACUUUGACUAGAAUUUGAGGAAUCAAGAUACCCUUGUGCCAUCCAAAGAUAUAUCAAAUUUCCCAUAUCAAUUUCACAAUCUUUAGGAAAAAUGGCACAAUAAGCAAAGCAAUGUUUCAAGUGAGAUGGAAGAUGAUCAUAACUCAAAUUAAGAGUUGACAAGAUAUUAUCUUCUUGCAUUUUUGAGAGUUCAUAUUCUUUGAAGGAUUGCCACUCCGACUCAGUAUUUUUACAAUAUAACAAAGCUCUUAUUGAUUUUAUACCUGAAGGAAGCCUUACACACUUUGCUACAAUCUCCUGCCCAAGUGCCUCUUGGCUCAAGCUUGUUUCUGCCUUUGAUCAAAUGCUAUUUUUUUGAACAAUGACCAAGACUCAGCAGGAGAUAGGCCCUUCAAUUCAUAAAUUGAAGAUGAACGUGUCCUUUCAGCAACUGUUUUGGAACGUGUGGUAAUUAUUAUUUUACUUUCUUUUGCACUUGCUACUAAUACGUCCCCUAAGCUAAGCCAUUUUUGUGCAUCCUCAUUCCACACAUCAUCCAAUACAAUGACAUAAUUUUUACCAUUAAUCUUUGCAUGAAGUUUGUUUUUCAGUGCAUCCACCCCAAGAUCAUCAGGUCUCUCACCAGUCAUAGAGCCUAAAAUUUUUUCAAUUAUGAGUUUAACAUCAAAAUUUUCAGACACACAAACCCAUCCUUCUAACUCAAAACAUGUUUUAACUCUUUCAUCGUUAUAAACAAUCUGAGCUAGUUGGUUUUUCCUAAGCCUCCAAUUCCUACUAUUGAAAUUACUGAUAAAUUCUCUUCCUGAUUAGAGCACAAUAAAAGAUCUAAAAUUGCAUUUUUGUCAUCUUCUCUACCAACAACAAUUUCUGGCAACGAAGAAUGAGUUUGCUCCCUUUCUCAAAUCAUUAGAGAAUUCUCCACUGGGCAUUCAUCUAAGUGAAACCCCCUAUCCUCUUUAAUAUUUUCUAGCGUUUCUCUAAUGUUCUUAAUCUUAUGAGCCAUUUUAAG
rnacentral:misc_RNA from 1 species